rnacentral:rRNA from 1 species
CAGUCGAACGAUGAUGCCCAGCUUGCUGGGUGGAUUAGUGGCGAACGGGUGAGUAACACGUGAGUAACCUGCCCCUGACUCUGGGAUAAGCGUUGGAAACGACGUCUAAUACUGGAUAUGAUCGCUGGCCGCAUGGUCUGGUGGUGGAAAGAUUUUUUGGUUGGGGAUGGACUCGCGGCCUAUCAGCUUGUUGGUGAGGUAAUGGCUCACCAAGGCGACGACGGGUAGCCGGCCUGAGAGGGUGACCGGCCACACUGGGACUGAGACACGGCCCAGACUCCUACGGGAGGCAGCAGUGGGGAAUAUUGCACAAUGGGCGAAAGCCUGAUGCAGCAACGCCGCGUGAGGGAUGACGGCCUUCGGGUUGUAAACCUCUUUUAGUAGGGAAGAAGCGAAAGUGACGGUACCUGCAGAAAAAGCACCGGCUAACUACGUGCCAGCAGCCGCGGUAAUACGUAGGGUGCAAGCGUUGUCCGGAAUUAUUGGGCGUAAAGAGCUCGUAGGCGGUUUGUCGCGUCUGCUGUGAAAUCCCGAGGCUCAACCUCGGGCUUGCAGUGGGUACGGGCAGACUAGAGUGCGGUAGGGGAGAUUGGAAUUCCUGGUGUAGCGGUGGAAUGCGCAGAUAUCAGGAGGAACACCGAUGGCGAAGGCAGAUCUCUGGGCCGUAACUGACGCUGAGGAGCGAAAGCAUGGGGAGCGAACAGGAUUAGAUACCCUGGUAGUCCAUGCCGUAAACGUUGGGCGCUANAUGUANGGGCCUUUCCACGGUUUCUGUGUCGUANCUAACGCAUUAAGCGCCCCGCCUGGGGAGUACGGCCGCAAGGCUAAAACUCAAAGGANUUGACGGGGGCCCGCACAAGCNGCGGANCAUGCGGAUNNAUUCGAUGCAACGCNNAGAACCUUACCAAGGCUGACAUACANCCGGAAACGGCCAGAGAUGGNCGCCCCCUUGUGNNCGGUGUACAGG